rnacentral:SRP_RNA from 1 species
GCUGGGCAUAGCAGUGUGUGCCUGUAGUCCCAGCAUCUUGGGAGGCUGAGGCAGGAGGAUCACUUGAGCCCAAGAGUUCAAGGUUGCAGUGGGUUAUGAUCAGUCCACUGUACUCUAGCCUGGGCUACACAGUGUGACCCUAUCUCUU